GCGCGCUGAUGACCACUUAGGACACCUUUGGAUUCCCAUGAAAACAACCUUGCGACUGAGCGCC